rnacentral:rRNA from 1 species
AUGAAUAUCGCGCUCCUUUCCCGCUGGCUUUGGUGCAUCUCGCAAGGUCAUGGUGGGCUGUGGCUAGACAUCAUCCGGAAUAAAUACCUGCGUGGCCAGCCUUUGGCCUUCUGUCAGCGGUCUGGGGGAUCCCAAUUUUGGCAGUCUGUCAUCCAGUUGCUUCCCGUCCUCUGUAUUGGGACCUCCAUAGCAGUCGGAUCGGGCUCUGCGACCAUGUUCUGGUUUGACCGCUGGGCGGGUGACUCUCCCUUUGUAGCUCGGUUCCCCGAUCUCUUCUCCAUUGCUGUCAUCCCGACGAUCUCCGUCGAACGGGCCCUUAUUGACUUAGGGCGCCUCGCGUUCCGAAGGCCAUUUGGGCCUCCGGAAGCUGCCGCUUGGCAGGAGCUUCUUGAUUGCAUCGCCCUCCAUGAGCCGGAUGUCGAUGCUGGCCCUGAUGAGGUUCGGUGGCGCCUUGAACCAUCGGGUCAAUUCUCCACCAAGUCCCUCUACACAGCCAUCGCCCCCUCCUCUGUGCCGCCCCCUCCUAGAUGUAUGGCCCAUUCGCGUUCCUCUGAAGAUCCGGAUCCUCAUGUGGUAGUGGAUCCGCGUACUCCCGAGGACUCGAACCAUAUCUUCUUCAACUGCGUUUCUGCCCAGUUUGUGUGGAGUUUCUUUAGAGAGGCGGUGGGUGGUAACUGGUGCCGCACCAACUUCCCUGACCUCUUCGACGAACUCCAGAACUCCCCCCUGCCCACUCGCCACAUUAGGUGGCUAGAGAUUGGAGCUCUCGCGUGGACCAUCUGGAUGAUUCGCAAUAAGCUUGUGAUUCAGCACACACUGCUUCGACGGGCUACUGACGCUCUCUUCAAAUUGUCUGGUUUCUUGCAGCUCUGGCGGCCGCUUAGCCGCCCUCGGGAUCGGGACGCCAUCUCCGCCUUCAUCGCCGACAUUCGUUCGAUGGUCGUCCGCCUGUCGCCGCCGCCCCCUCCGCCUCCUCCAGAGCCUGAUUAG